GAAAUUCUCUCUGCAAUUUCAUCUGAGAUUCCAAGAGUGUUUCUAAGGGAUAUUUUACUAAAUAUCCUUUUUGCUUACUCAGCACUAGUGAGACCACACCUGGAAUGCUGUGUCCACUUCUGGGCUCCGUCGUGCAAGAGAGACAUGGACCUACUGGAAUGAGUCCAGCACAGGACCCCAGCAGUCAACGUGUAUAACUACUUGAGGGAGGGAAAGCAGCCAAGGGACCCAGCCUCCUUCUCAAGUGGUGCCCACUGACAGGGCAACAGGCACAAACUGAAGCUUUUGAGAUUCCAUCUGAACACAGCUGUGAGGGUGUUCCAACACUCGCACAGGUUGUCCAGAGAGGAUGGGCAGUCUCUUUGUGUAGAGAUGCUCAACACCUGACCUAGCUAUCAAAGCUUCAACCACUUACUUAUUUCUCAUGCAUACUUCAUAUUCUUCAACUAUGUCAGCGUGCAGUACUCUUCCCACAUUUACCAGUCCGAUAACUACUUAGUUCAGUUUCAGGCAACCACAGGACAAAGAAAACGUGGAGUCCCUCACCAAGCAGCAAAUACCAUCUCAGAGUGCCUCACAGCUAAAGCUCUCCUUCACUACUUGAGGCACAUCCCUGUGGAAAUACUGCAUGCUUUGUAUGGAGAUGGAGGUGUGAUGAGAACGACUUGAAAAGGAAAAUAAUAGGUACUCUUACAGUUAAAUACACUUCUCCUUCAACAACCUCACAAAAAUACUUAUAAUAAACACACAUUAUGACACUUUGCUGACAAAAUAUAAGAAAUUUAAAGUACCUUUCUAGUAUUAUCUGUACACCAAAUGUUAUUUACUUUGUGCAUCUGACUGACACUUACAGAUAUGAUCAAAGCCACUGGAUAAUACGUUUGCAUGAACACGUUAGGGCAAGCCAACAUUCCUCAGACUACUCUCUGCAGUUAAUAUCAUCUAAAUUUCUGUUAAGGAUCCAGUGCAAUACGCUGACUCCUCAGUUACGUAUUGAUAGUGAUCAUUUUACACUAGUAAAAGAAAAAAAAAUGAUGCUGUUCCUGACAG
ensembl:lncRNA